UCCCUGAUAGUCCAGUGGUUAGGACUCUGAGUUUCCACUGCAAGGGGCACGGGUUCCAUCCUGGUCAGGGAA
rnacentral:tRNA from 1 species